rnacentral:rRNA from 1 species
UACGUAGGUGACAAGCGUUGUCCGGAUUUACUGGGCGGAAAGAGCGCGCAGGCGGUCGUUCAAGUCGAGUGUGAAAGCCCCCGGCUCAACUGGGGAGGGUCAUUCGAUACUGAUCGACUCGAAGGCAGGAGAGGGUAGUGGAAUUCCCGGUGUAGUGGUGAAAUGCGUAGAUAUCGGGAGGAACACCAGUGGCGAAGGCGACUACCUGGCCUGUUCUUGACGCUGAGGCGCGAAAGCUAGGGGAGCAAACGGG